UACGAAGGGGGCUAGCGUUGUUCGGAAUUACUGGGCGUAAAGGGCGCGUAGGCGGUCGUGACAAGUCACUUGUGAAAUCUCCGGGCUUAACUCGGAACGGUCAAGUGAUACUGUCGGACUAGAGUACAGAAGGGGGCAACUGGAAUUCUCGGUGUAGCGGUGAAAUGCGUAGAUAUCGAGAGGAACACCUGCGGCGAAGGCGGGUUGCUGGGCUGAUACUGACGCUGAGGCGCGGAAAGCCUAGGGGAGCGAACGGG
rnacentral:rRNA from 1 species